UCAAAGAUGAGCUCACAGGAGGUGGUUGGGCUGGCCUGAGUGUGGUAGGUUGAGCUGAGUGAGAGUGAGGCUGCACAGUAGUGGUCCUGCGUAAAGCCAGGGAAAGGGGCUUUCUAGAAGCAGGUCUGGAUUGAGGCUUGUCCAGAGUUGGAAAAGGCAGAGGAACUAACUUGACCUUACCAGCUGGGGGCAGCUCAUACUGGGAUGGAGAUAGACAAUCUUUGUCAAUACUGCUCUCUGCUCUCUGAACCUUCCCUGGGCUUUUGGGAGGAAACUGGCCCUCACAUGGCAUGUUUAACACUGUUGUAGUAACUGUGCCUGAGCCUGGGCCUGGAUCUUUGUUGAUGGUGAAGGUUCGCAGACCUCUGAAGGAGGAGAUGCCAGUUUUCUUCUCAGUCUUCUUCCCAAGUGGGUGGAAGACCUGCACGGACUCCAGCAUGUGCAUUGCAAGGUUGGUUCGAGGCUUCUUGAAGCUGUUUUGACUGAGCUCAGGUGGGUUCCUCUUCCUCUUGGUCUUGGGGAUGGAGAGGUUCUCUUCUGCUUUGGCUGUGUUCCUUGACUGCUUAAGCUCCUCUGUUUUCUUGGAUUUGUUCUGUGGCCCACUUGGUCUUUCUUGCUCCUGUUUUCUAGCUUUUCUGUUCUUGCUGGGAGGCCCUUUGGGAGCUUUGCCCUCUGGUUGCUUUGCCAUGUUGUCAAUAGCCCUCUCACUGGCUCCAGCAACACCCCCAGCCCCUUCUCCCUCCACCAGGUCCCAGUGCUGGAAUUUGGCCUGAGGAGCCCCCUCAAGCAACUCAAAGGAUUUAUGUUUGUUCUUCCUCACCUGGUCAGAGGGGCCACUGGUGACUGUCCAGGUUUCACAGGACUGAUCUUGGUCUAUGUCUGUGAGGGUGUUUAGGAGUUGGGGAAGUUGGAUGUCUGCCUCAAGUCUAGUGAUGUCUUUAAAGUUGAAGCUGGAUCCAUUCUCAUUCUCUAGCCCCACAAGCUCUUUCGGACCCAUGCAGAUGCAUCCCAAAUGGGCAUUAUCAGAAUCAGGCUUCUGCCUGAGGCUCUCAGUGUCAGUGCAGUGCAGAGGCUGCUGCAAGUCAGGGUGCUCCAAAGUCAGGACUGGCCUGUCUUGGUUUUCUUUUGUGCCCUCUUUUAUCUCAGGCAUGGUUUUGUUCUCUGGUUGUUCCAGGCUUGGAGCUGGAGGCAAGGCCAGGAACUCUGAAGGACUGUGGAUGGGGGCUGUUAAUGCCUUGUCCCCAUUGACAGCUGGUGGCCUUAUUUGGGAAACCUGGACACAGGUGUUGCAGAGUUCUGGACUCUGCAGCUGACAGUGUGUCUGGCCUGAAGGUGGCAAUCCCAGGGAUGUCUCCAUUUGAACCACUGGAAAAGGGUGAAGGAAGAAGUCAGUGCCUUGGGCAAAUGAGAUGCUCCCCACCCCGACCCAUUUCAUAGACCACAGCAUUUGGCCCCUGCAGCAGUGGGAGGACAUUCCUAUGAGCUCUUGAUGAAGAGCUUGGAUGCUACCCCUGUGGGCAGACCGAUGGUGACUGCUUUGUUUCUGGAGAUCAUUGCAUGUCAUGCUUUCUCAGAUAUUUUUGUUUUUCUUCCUGUUUGUAUGGUUUGUGGCAGAAAACCCUCAGUAGGCCAGUUACCAAAUUACCUGGAAGUGUGCUCCUCACUUUUCUUCCCCUUUGUCUUUAUUAAGAGCGACUCUCAUUUUCGUGGAACUAGGUUGUCUGGUCCAUAAUUUCCAAAAUCUUACCUGAUCCUUUGAAUAAUGUCAUUACUCAGAUGACCCCAGUAUCUUGUUUUUUAAUGUAGGUUUAAGUAUCUAAACACACUUAGGAACGGCUGCAAGGCAAGCAUUUAAACAACUAAUGAUUUUACCAGCCCCAUGUUUCACAAUCUUAAAAGUGGAAUGGAAAAUGGUAUCAGAAUUUGAAAUUGGUGGCCUUGUGUGAGACUCAGUGGUAGAGAACAUGUCUACCUGAUCUUAUGUUCUUGGACAUGGGUUACCUCUGCAGUACUACAGCAAAAAAACAAAAC
rnacentral:lncRNA from 1 species